rnacentral:rRNA from 1 species
GACGAACGCUGGCGGCGUGCUUAACACAUGCAAGUCGAGCGGUAGGGCCCUUUCGGGGGUACACGAGCGGCGAACGGGUGAGUAACACGUGGGUGACCUGCCCUUAGCUCUGGGAUAAGCCUGGGAAACUGGGUCUAAUACCGGAUAUGACUCCAUGACGCAUGUUGUGGGGUGGAAAGCCUUGUGCGGCUAGGGAUGGGCCCGCGGCCUAUCAGCUUGUUGGUGGGGUGANGGCCUACCAAGGCGACGACGGGUAGCCGGCCUGAGAGGGCGACCGGCCACACUGGGACUGAGACACGGCCCAGACUCCUACGGGAGGCAGCAGUGGGGAAUCUUGCGCAAUGGGCGAAAGCCUGACGCAGCGACGCCGCGUGAGGGAUGACGGCCU